AAGAGUUAGGGUCCUCUGGGCCCGACCUCCCAACCCUUUGUUUACUGAACCUCUGUUGCUUCGGCGGACCCGUCUCACGACCGCCGGAGGAUCGCCCGUCCAGGCGUCCUCUGGCCAGCGUCCGCCGAUAGCCACUCUCAAAACUCUUGAAUAAAUCAUGUUAUUGUCUAAGUCUAUGAUGCAAAUCAAUAAAGCA
rnacentral:misc_RNA from 1 species